UUACGGGAGGCAGCAGUGGGGAAUAUUGCGCAAUGGGGGAAACCCUGACGCAGCGACGUCGUGUGAGGGAAGAAGGCCUUCGGGUCGUAAACCUCUGUCAGAAGGGAAGAAAAACCAGGAGUCAAAUAGCCUCUUGGUCUGACGGUACCUUCAAAGGAAGCGCCGGCUAACUCCGUGCCAGCAGCCGCGGUAAUACGGAGGGCGCAAGCGUUAAUCGGAAUUACUGGGCGUAAAGCGUGCGUAGGCUGUUUGAUAAGUCAGGCGUGAAAUCCCUCGGCUCAACCGGGGAACUGCGUUUGAUACUGUUGAACUCGAGUCCUGGAGAGGGUGGCGGAAUUCCUGGUGUAGGAGUGAAAUCCGUAGAUAUCAGGAGGAACACCGGUGGCGAAGGCGGCCACCUGGACAGGUACUGACGCUGAGGCACGAAAGCGUGGGGAGCAAACAGGCUUAGAUACCCUGGUAGA
rnacentral:rRNA from 1 species